rnacentral:misc_RNA from 1 species
UGGUUCUGGCAUNGAUGAAGAACGCAGCGAAAUGCGAUAAGUAAUGUGAAUUGCAGAAUUCAGUGAAUCAUCGAAUCUUUGAACGCACAUUGCGCCCUCUGGUAUUCCGGGGGGCAUGCCUGUUCGAGCGUCAUUACAACCCUCAAGCUCUGCUUGGUAUUGGGUGUCACCCUUUGGGGCGCACCUUAAAAUCAGUGGCGGCGCCACUCGGCUUCAAGCGUAGUAAUUCUUCUCGCUCUGGAGGACCGGGUGUGCUCUUGCCAGCAACCCCCCAAUUUUUUUUAAGGUUGACCUCGGAUCAGGUAGGGAUACCCGCUGA